UACGUAGGGUGCAAGCGUUGUCCGGAAUUAUUGGGCGUAAAGAGCUCGUAGGCGGUUCGUCGCGUCGGCUGUGAAAUCCCGAGGCUCAACCUCGGGUCUGCAGUCGAUACGGGCGGACUGGAGUACUGCAGGGGAGACUGGAAUUCCUGGUGUAGCGGUGAAAUGCGCAGAUAUCAGGAGGAACACCGGUGGCGAAGGCGGGUCUCUGGGCAGUUGACUGACGCUGAGGUGCGAAAGCGUGGGGAGCAAACAGG
rnacentral:rRNA from 1 species